AACACACACACACACACACACCCCUUCUAAUUCUUUCAGUUUGAGGAAUCUUAUAAAUAUAAUUCCUGCCUCCACCCUCUACCAAGGAGAAGGGGCAGCAGCAUGGGAACUGCACCUCAGAAGGACCUCUGUCAAGCACAGCGCCUCCAGGCGUGGGGCAGGUUCUGGACCAAGCCUUGUGCAGGUCUGUGCCAAAAGGCACAAUUUGGCUCACCGUAGGUAAAAGGUUGUCAGACAGAAAUGUGAAUCUUGAAGUUGAUGGGAUCCCUUUAACGUUUAUUCACACAGCUUUGAAAAUUUUGUCAGUAUACUCUUGCUGUAGCAAAGCUCACAUCUGAGCCAAAGAGAAAAGCCCUGUUAUAGCAAAGGGUUCAGUAUACAAUACCAAACAGCCUUCUGCCUCUGACAAUGGGGAGAAAAAAGUUGAAAUCACUCUUUAUGAAAAGAAGCAUUUGCAAUAGGAAAAGUAAUAUGAAAAACUGUAAACCUUGCCUAGAAAUGAAACACACAGCUCUGAUGCUUAGAUUAAAAACAAGUUGUUUUGCUCUUACAUGUGAUGCGUACAAUGUGCAGCUGUUCACAAAAGACCAGAAGACUUAAUAUAUGAACAAGUAAGAUUGCUAGCUUUGUUCCUUUCUUAUUAUAAAAGCCAUAUCUAUUUUACCUGUUCCACUGUUAUAACAAUGUGCUCUGGUAGAAUUAAGACUUUAUUUUUCUCUCUUUGGCGUUUGUGUUGGGUGUGCACAGAGGAGAGAGAAAGAGAGAAACUAAUAACACUUUGCUGUUAGUCUGUGUAGUGUCUUUCAUCCCAGGAUCUCUAAGUGCUUUUCAAAGGAUGGGUACAGUAGGUAUUAUUCUUAUUAUUAAUUUUCCCAUUUUACAGCUGGGGAAAUAGAUUAAUGAAGAAUACGAAUUUUAUAUUCAGCUCUUAUGUUGAAGUUAAAUAUUACACGUACUCUUUUUUCACAUAGGAGUCGCAUACCUCCUCUCUAGGUUGUCUGUAUUAUCAGGAUCCAAAAGGCAAAGUUCAUAAUAAACUUCAAGUUGCAAUAACAUUUGAAUAUCUGCUUAAAAUCUAUUUCUGUAAAAAUUAACAUCCUGACCCUUGACAUGAGAGAUGGAAGACUUGGUCUCACUAACUUCAGUGUGAGGGUUGUUGGCAGCAGCAGCUUUCAGAGCAAAGCUAGGACUGCAGUUAUGCUCCAUUGGUGUGAUUUUUCUCUCCUCACCUUGGAGUAAGCUUCUUUUGUUCUUCUUUUUCUCUUCUCUCCUUUUGUGCCUGACUGCUUUGUUCUAACGUGCAUCAGUUUCAAGGAGCAUUUUAUUCACUUUCUUGUUUGCAUUAGGCAUUUUUUUCUUUAAUUUUCCAGUAUUGCUAAAACCAGUGCAACUCCACCAAUGGUGGCAAUAUUGAGAACCUUAAUGUAGACAAGGGAACACUGGCUGCCAGCAUUUUUACUGAGCAUAGCAUAGACUGACAUGAAAUCCUUGUCUACACUCCCAGUAUUACCAUCAUUGGCUGCUAGAUUGGUCCCAUAGGGCCACUAGCAUCCAACACAUAAUAUCAGAGGGGUAGCCGUGUUAGUCUGGAUCUGUAAAA